UACGCUUGUUGCAACGGGUUGUUCCUGCCA
rnacentral:piRNA from 1 species